ACACACAGAGACAUAAAAGCGCUGCUUUUCCUAGCGCUGGGCAAGAUUGCAACGCCACUCGUGUCUUCCUCUGCCGAUGAUCCAUCACAUACGUCAGCCACUCGCAUGUGACAUAUUGCUGCUACCACGAGUGUUGCGGCUGCUGCUCUCUUCGCCGUCGGGCGCGUGUCGUUCUCUUGCCUUUGGUGCUUCCCUUCUGUGCUCGCGUUCACCGGCUGACCACCGUGUGACGUCUCAUUCUUGCGGCUCGCAUUGCUGACCUGCUGAUUCUUCAAUUCACAACCAGGUUUGCUUACUCGCUUGUGCCCACUGUCAGCGUUAGAGUUGUUUGGCAGUUGCACGCCUCCCCUUUCCAUAUUGGCGUGCCGCUUGCGUUUUUCGCCGCACUCGUCUGUCGCUCGCGCGAGUUUCGGGCUUGUCCUUUGCCUGCCUCUCGUCCUCGAAGAGGCGGACGAAGGGGUCCAUUCCGUGUGGAAGACACCCAUACGCGCGCGAUCGAGGGGCCUACUUCCCCCUUCCCCUGCAUAGGCGCACCGGCACGCGCUCCUGUCGACGGCCACGCGUGGCAUCUUGCUUUUCGUUGUCGUCUGCAUCACAUGCGUGUCUGCUGCUGCCAACACCGGGCGACUGAUUGAACAACGUGUUGUGAGAGGUGAGAGGGAGAACUCGUCCCGCCGGGGGAAGGGUGGGGUGGAGGGCGUGGCACAAGCGUAGGCGCUCUUAUAGGGCUUCUUUUUCUUUUGUAUAUUUCUGCUCUUCCUUGCUCGCCUUUUGAACAGGGCCGACAACGGUGCAGGCGCGCCGCCGUGACUGUCGGCCAGCGAUGAGCGCGUCCGCAUCAGCGUCUUCGGAAGAUGAUGCGACGGCGGGUUCAGUGACAACAACGCCAGCGCACGGCGAUUGCAGCACCGCUCCGCCGUCUGCAUCGGCAGACGCGGUGCCGUCCUCAGACUUCCUGCAGUAUCUUACUGAAAAGGCGGUGGCACUAAAGCUAUUCAGGGAGGGCCAACCUCAGCGAGCGGCAACAAGGGCGUCAGACUCAACAGCGGCUGCCGCAGACUCAACAAAGACUCUCCCGCACACAUGCGAAGCAGAACCGCACGAUGCCGUCGGUCUACCGACGGUGGUGGCGGCCAACCGACCGUGUACGCCGCCACCCGCUUGGGCCACUACGCUGCCCAGUUCCAUUUCUGACAAGAUACCCUUUAACACCUUCCUGUCGCAUCUGGCCCUUCCAGGCGUACGCACGGGUGCAGAGCGCAUGACGGAUUCGCCUACGCCGAUGCAAGACGGUGGGCUUGGCAGAGGGGCGGAGGGAGCCGACAGCACGAGGGCCGUACCCGAGAACCGCGCGCCGUCGUCUACCUCGUCGCCGCCGCAUGUCCAUCAGCUGCGGUCGAGACAGUUUUUUCUCCCUGCCCUUUGUGAGGUGUGCAAGCAGACGGUGCUGAAAGCGAAGAUGUGGCCGCAACCACAACCGCAGCAGGCGAUGUUGACGACGCUGCAGUCGGGCACUGCCUCGUCGCCGCCCUUUGCUCUGCUAUCGUUUCUUGCAUCACCCACAACGCCAUCUGAGGCGGCGUGCUCUCUGUUACCUGCAACGGCGACCCCCUCCUCCUCGUCGACGUUCUCGUCAGCUGUGGCUGCUGUUGCUGCAGCUCCGUCUCAGCCGUUCCUUGGAUUCGGCACGGAAGGCUACCGAUGCAAUAUCUGCGGCCUUGUCUUGCACAUCCACUGCCUCGCCAAGAUGCGGCUGGUGCACGAGUGCGAGGUCCUUGCUCCGGUCGCGCAUCAGAUGCCGUCCACCUUGCCGACAUCGGCUUUAUCUUCCCCUUCUACCUCCGCGCUCACAACGUCGGCGGCGGUCGAAACGGGCACUACAUUAUCCUCGAUGGUUAGCGGACCCUUUUCAUGGGAUCGCGCCAAGGCAAUGCUGGUGAGCUACCUCGACCCUGACGACAGCGCCAACAACCUCCGCGACGCCAAUGCGAAGGCUGUGCUUAGGGGUGUGUACGCGCUGCUCGACACGAUAAUUGCGCGCUAUCCGACGUUGACGCCGCUUACUUUUUUGAAACGGUACUCGACGAUGCAGGAUCUGAGCAACGCGCAUCAGGCGCUAUAUGCAGCGUGUGUGGCAUCUCUGGACGACACGGCGCUCCUCGGCAGCAUCAGCUGGGAUGAGGUGCGGCUGCACUGGCCAGCGCAGACAGGUGUUGCCGCCACCACAUGCUCCACGCCCGCCUUCGCGGCCCUUCGGCCGCUGCGCGUGGACAAGUCCGUCCUCGAAAAUCUCAAGACGAGUGUGAGGGGUGCCGGCGUCAAGGGCUUCUUCUCGUCUCCCUUCUUGCGAAAGGGGGCGGCAACACCGAUGAUGGCACAGCGGGCGGCAUCCGAUGAUAAUGAUGAUGACGUUGCGUCAUCAACGUGGCCCCUCGCUCAUUAUCCGGUGCAGCUGCUUCUCUGGCAGGCCAUGCGGUACGCUACGGCAGUCUACGGCGAAGUGUACCGGCGCGGCUCCCUCUCCUCCACGUUCUCGGUCGCACUGCUCUUCACGAUCAAACGCAGCGGCGCCGAAAUAUCGAAGCAGGAAAAUGACUCAGCGGUGACGAGCUUGCUGGAGCUGCCACCGAGUGCUCUGCGGCUGUCGCGGUGGGCCUCACAGGCUACCGAGCCGAGUUACGCCCUCCUCGUCGACGACGUCGCCGGCCGCAUCGUCGUCUCCUUCCGCGGAACGUUAAACACGUUCGACAUCAUGACAGACCUCGCUGCGGUCAGCCAGCCAUUUUGUGGUGGCUACGCCCAUCAAGGCGCAGCGGAAGUGGUGAAUACGCUCUUUGAUCAGCGGGCCUCGCGGUAUGGGGAGAGAGUGGAGCAACAAAGGAAAGCAGCCGCAGCUGCGACGGCGGUCGAGGCCGUCACAGACGCGACGCCGACCACCGCGGAAGACGCAGCACGUCGUGUCAACAUGCGUGCGACAGCGACUCCGUCGUCUCCAGCGAAGAGAGUCGUGGGUGUGGAGGAGCAGACAUCGCUUAGUGCCACCGGCAGUGAAACAGAUGACAUCAGUGCCCCUGAAGCGACCAAGGAGCCGGUGAUGGUCGCGCUGGAGCCGUAUGCACUGCAGCCGCUGGACACACCAGAUGGACUUCUCGACGGGCUCGAGCAGCUUGCGGCGGAGCACCCGUCCUAUUCGAUUCUCAUCACAGGCCACUCGCUCGGCGGCGGCGUUGCUGUGCUCUUCGCCACUCGGUUGCACUAUGACGAGGUACUACCGCCGGCUGUGCUCAAGCGUAUUCACGUGAUCGCGUUUGCACCGAUGCCGACCUUGUCCCUGCCAGCUGCUUCGUGUUUUGACCAGGUGAGCUGCGCGCGGGCCGACGGCGGCUACAGCCGUCGCGAUGUGCCGCAACAGAGCGCUCCAGCGGGCGCGUGCUUUCCGGUAUGGAGUGUUGUGAACGGCUUCGACUGCGUGCCGCGGCUGCAGGUGAAUACCAUUGAUCGACUGCUGCGGCAAGUGGUCGGACCUCAGAUCGCCGCCUCUGCCGAGGUGUCGUCAGCUGCAGCUCCGGCCGCCACAGAUGCACGGCAGCAAGCACUUCGAGAUUUGCGUGAGCAUGACACAGCGACAUACGGCGUGGCUUCCGGCGCGCAUGCGGAAACGGAGAUGGUAGACAUGCCCACAGCGCCCACCAAGGCCACCGCGACGGAGGUUCCAUUGCCGUGCGUACACGACAACACCAUUCCAAGGGCAGUAGAUGAUACCGUGGAGGACGGCGCGAACACCUCAGUUUCUGAGGUGAUGAUUAGAGUGUGCACAUCGGUGGACAGUGGCGCUCAGGGUGCAUCAAAUCUCAAGAGCUUACCUUCGAAGAGCGAGGACAGGCGGCACGAGGCGCGGGAUCUCUCUCACGAGCUUCACCACCCUGGGCGGGUGCUGCUACUCACCUCGCCGUGGGACGGCAUGAGGAACCGCCUGGUGGACGUGCCACGUGGUCAUCCUGUCAUGCACGAGCUGUUCCUCAUGAAGUCCAUGCUGAUGCAGCACAUGCUGGACUCGUACAGCGCUUCACUAGGAGAGAUACAUGAAAAUCCACGAUACGCAAGUAGAGAGGAGCGGAGCUAGGCAGCGCGGUGCAGACGAGUUUCUGGGGAGGGGAGGCUAUACAGGGCACGACACUUGCCCCCUCCCCACCCUCUACCUCUGACUGUAGCGGUGAGGCUCGGCUGGUCGAAGCAGGCGCACCGCUCUCACAGAGCUGACGGCGACACGAGAGUGGUGUGGCGGUGAGGCCGGAGAUGCCGGGGAGAGGCGACGGAGCGGGAUGAGCAGAGGUCGAGGCGCUUCCGCCUUGAUUGCAGGGGUGAGUGUGCUGGAGAAGGGGGAGGGUCCUACGACGGCAGGGUAGCUUUCUCUUUACGUGUGCUUUCAGAUGCCCAAUGUGUGAGAGCUUCUGCUGGAGCUUGGUGGCGGGUGGUGGUGGUGGUGGUGAAAGCAUAGGGAGAACAAAUACGAACCCGGCAAGCGCGUCGAGCACGCAAGGGUGAGCAGGCAGUGGAGUGGAAGGGGUUUGUGUGUACGUGUGUAUAUGCCCGAGCACAAUCGCCCAGAGUCGUGAUCGAAGGUUGCCGGAAGUAGAGCGGACACGAGGAAGGGGGAGGGGGACAUUUCUGCGCGGGUGAUGAGCAGCAUCCAUUGCGAUGGGCGCUGGGCCGUGAGUGGGGGCGGACCACGCACCCAGUGAGAGCCGCGCAUGUGCACAGGUACGCACGCUACAACGACACGCACACACUCAGACUGAUAUACGCACAAAAUAGAAAACAAACAACAAACGUACGCAUACAUGCACCGACCUUGAGGUGUGCCACACUCCUGACCCCAUGCAACGAGAAGGGACAGGGAGGGGGGCAACCCCGCCCACCCACCUCCACCACCGGAGCAGCAGUGACUAACAGUGCAGUAGCAGGAAGCAGCUGCAGACAGCGCAGUGAGUGGGCCAACGCUUUACCCGUUGGCGUGCUAACGAUGACGUGAUCGCGACAGCGAUACCUCUAUGUACAUGCACACAGCAACAUCAGUGCUGAAGCAAUACAUGCUUCAGUGGCAGAGAAGCGGCGACAGCAACUACAACGGCAGCAGCAGGGAGAGUGAAGAUGGUUCACUGGAUGGGGCCUGUGUAUUUCCUCGUGGAUGGCUGGGCGACGCAUGGCGGGCAUCGAGAGGGGGUGGAUGCAGUGAGAGGAAGCGUAAGCGGACGAGGGAGAGAGAGGAGGGGCGGGACAGCGGGAACGGCGACGGGGUGGCCGUGGUACAUGUAUAUAUACAUGUGUGUGUGUAUGUGUAAGUGUGUGUGCCUGCCACUGCGCCGCCUGAGAGAGCGAAGACGAGAGAAGCCGUGCAUACGCAUCUCUACACAAGACAAAGAGAGGCACACGUGCAUCCAUGCUGAUUUCUCAGUGCCGCCCCUCGCCCCUUCUCAUCCUCGGACGCUUUUCCCUUCUCCGUCCACCUUCUUCCCACCAGAAUAAAGGAAAUCCCCCACAAACAACACAUGCACAAACACGUACACGCUCACUUCUUCUUCAUCUUUCUUUUUUUUUUCUUUUCGUUCAGCGUUUCUUUCUUUGUGUUUUGCCUUCUUCGUGUGUGCGUGCGCCUUCUCCUUUCGGAUGUGUUAUCAUCAUUUUUUUUUAUAUCUUGCUGAUAUUAGUCUGUGUGUGCAGUUGUGUGCGUGUGUGUUUUGUUCGCGCACUUCGCCCGAACAUUCCUCACCUGCCACACACGCUUCCUCUUGUCCUUUGUUUCUUCUUCGCUGUUCUCCUGCGUCUCACUCUGUCUCUCUCUCUGUCUGCCUACAUGUGUGCGUGUUUAUGUGUGCUUCUCCACCC
rnacentral:misc_RNA from 1 species